CGUUGAAACACCGUUUCCCGUACAAUCACCGAAGUUAAGCAACGUGGAGCUUCGUCAGUACCUCGAUGGGUUAGCGCUUGCGAAUUCCGGAUCCUGUA